rnacentral:rRNA from 1 species
AUACGUAGGGGGCGAGCGUUGUCCGGAAUUAUUGGGCGUAAAGGGCGUGUAGACGGUCAUAUAAGUUACAGGUGAAAGCCCAUUUUUCAAGGAUGGAACUGCCUGUAAGACUGUAAGACUUGAGUGCAGGAGAGGGAAGCGGAAUUCCAAGUGUAGCGGUGAAAUGCGUAGAUAUUUGGAGGAACACCAGUGGCGAAGGCGGCUUUCUGGACUGCAACUGACGUUGAGGCGCGAAAGCGUGGGGAGCGAACAGGAUUAGAUACCCUGGUAGUCCACGCUGUAAACGAUGAAUGCUAGGUGUAGGGGGUAUCGACCCCUUCUGUGCCGCAGUCAACACAAUAAGCAUUCCGCCUGGGGAGUACGGCCGCAAGGUUGAAACUCAAAGGAAUUGACGGGG